rnacentral:rRNA from 1 species
UCGAGAAUCUUGGGCAAUGGGCGAAAGCCUGACCCAGCAAUGCCGCGUGCGGGAUGAAGGUCUUCGGAUUGUAAACCGCUGUCACUGGGGACGAAUUUUGACGGUACCUGGAGAGGAAGACACGGCUAACUACGUGCCAGCAGCCGCGGUAAUACGUAGGUGUCAAGCGUUGUUCGGAUUUAUUGGGCGUAAAGGGUCCGCAGGUGGCCUGGCAAGUCUGAUGUGAAAUCCCGGAGCUCAACUCCGGAACUGCAUUGGAAACUGCUGGGCUAGAGUAUCGGAGAGGAGAUUGGAAUUCCAGGUGUAGCGAUAAAAUGCGUAGAUAUCUGGAAGAACACCGAAAGCGUAGGCAGAUCUCUGGACGAUCACUGACACUCAGGGACGAAAGCAUGGGGAGCAAACA